CAUAAGUUUUAUUCUUGCUUAUAAAUUAAUUAUUUAUAUUUUUUAUAUGAAUUUUAUUUAAUUAUUAUUUAUCAGUAAUAAGUAUUUAUAAAUUAUUUUGUUUUUUAUUAAGAUAUAUAUUUAUAAUUGAUUAAAGUUGUGCCAGCAUUCGCGGUUAUACAUCUUAUUAAAAUUAAUUUUAUUUGUCUUAAUUUUUAUUAAUAUUUUGAUUUUUAUCAUUUAAAGUUUAGGUGGAAUUUACUCUAACUAUUUAUUCUUAUGAUUAAUUAAUAAUUUAGUAUUUUAAACUAGGAUUAGAUACCCUAUUAUUUCUUAAUUUAAAUUUUAGCUUGAAUAUUAUUAGUUAUUUUCUAUUAAACUCAAAGAUUUUGGCGGUAAUUUACUUUUUUAGAGGAAUUUGGUUUUUAAUUGAUAAUCCACGAUAAAUUUUACUUAUUAUAUUAUUUGUAUAUCUCUAUAAUUUAGGAAUGUUUUUAUAAUAUAUUUUCUUUAAUUUUUAAAAAUUUUAUGUUAGGUCAAGGUGCAGUUUUUAAUAAGUGAAUUUGAAUUACUUUAAUUUUAAAUUUUUUGGUUUUUUCAUUUAUUUUGAUUUUAAAAUAGAAUUUAAUAGUAAAUUAAAAAUAAUUAUUUUUUUUGAAUUUAAUACUAAAUUAUGUACAUAUUGCCCGUCACUCCCAUUUAAGUUGGGAUAAGUCGUAACAAAGUAAUUUUACUGGAAAGUGAGGUUAGAAAGUU
rnacentral:ncRNA from 1 species